rnacentral:rRNA from 1 species
AUUGAACGCUGGCGGCAUGCCUUACACAUGCAAGUCGAGCGCGAAAGGGGGCAACCCCGAGUAGAGCGGCGGACGGGUGAGUAACACAUCGGAACGUGCCCAGUAGUGGGGGACAACCUCGAGAAAUCGAGGCUAAUACCGCAUACGACCCACGGGUGAAAGCGGGGGACCGCAAGGCCUCGCGCUAUUGGAGCGGCCGAUGUCCGAUUAGCUAGUUGGCGGGGUAANAGCCCACCAAGGCGACGAUCGGUAGCUGGUCUGAGAGGACGACCAGCCACACUGGGACUGAGACACGGCCCAGACUCCUACGGGAGGCAGCAGUGGGGAAUUUUGGACAAUGGGGCAACCCUGAUCCAGCCAUGCCGCGUGC